UACGUAGGGACCAAGCGUUGUUCGGAUUUACUGGGCGUAAAGGGCGCGUAGGCGGCUUGACAAGUCACUUGUGAAAUCUCUGAGCUUAACUCAGAACGGCCAAGUGAUACUGUCGAGCUAGAGUGCAGAAGGGGCAAUCGGAAUUCUUGGUGUAGCGGUGAAAUGCGUAGAUAUCAAGAGGAACACCUGAGGUGAAGACGGGUUGCUGGGCUGACACUGACGCUGAGGCGCGAAAGCCAGGGGAGCGAACGGG
rnacentral:rRNA from 1 species